rnacentral:rRNA from 1 species
UGGGCGUUAAGUUGCAGGGUAUAGACCCGAAACCCGGUGAUCUAGCCAUGGGCAGGUUGAAGGUUGGGUAACACUAACUGGAGGACCGAACCGACUAAUGUUGAAAAAUUAGCGGAUGACCUGUGGCUGGGGGUGAAAGGCCAAUCAAACCGGGAGAUAGCUGGUUCUCCCCGAAAGCUAUUUAGGUAGCGCCUCGUGAAUUCAUCUCCGGGGGUAGAGCACUGUUUCGGCUAGGGGGCCAUCCCGGCUUACCAACCCGAUGCAAACUGCGAAUACCGGAGAAUGUUAUCACGGGAGACACACGGCGGGUGCUAACGUCCGUCGUGAAGAGGGAAACAACCCAGACCGCCAGCUAAGGUCCCAAAGUCAUGGUUAAGUGGGAAACGAUGUGGGAAGGCCCAGACAGCCAGGAUGUUGGCUUAGAAGCAGCCAUCAUUUAAAGAAAGCGUAAUAGCUCACUGGUCGAGUCGGCCUGCGCGGAAGAUGUAACGGGGCUAAACCAUGCACCGAAGCUGCGGCAGCGACGCUGAUGCGUUGUUGGGUAGGGGAGCGUUCUGUAAGCCUGCGAAGGUGUGUCGUGAGGCAUGCUGGAGGUAUCAGAAGUGCGAAUGCUGACAUAAGUAACGAUAAAGCGGGUGAAAAGCCCGCUCGCCGGAAGACCAAGGGUUCCUGUCCAACGUUAAUCGGGGCAGGGUGAGUCGACCCCUAAGGCGAGGCCGAAAGGCGUAGUCGAUGGGAAACGGGUUAAUAUUCCCGUACUUGGUGUUACUGCGAAGGGGGGACGGAGAAGGCUAUGUUGGCCGGGCGACGGUUGUCCCGGUUUAAGCGUGUAGGUGUGUGUUCCAGGUAAAUCCGGUUCACUUUAACACUGAGGCGUGAUGACGAGGCACUACGGUGCUGAAGCAACAAAUGCCCUGCUUCCAGGAAAAGCCUCUAAGCAUCAGGUAACAUCAAAUCGUACCCCAAACCGACACAGGUGGUCAGGUAGAGAAUACCAAGGCGCUUGAGAGAACUCGGGUGAAGGAACUAGGCAAAAUGGUGCCGUAACUUCGGGAGAAGGCACGCUGACACGUAGGUGAAGUGAUUUACUCAUGGAGCUGAAGUCAGUCGAAGAUACCAGCUGGCUGCAACUGUUUAUUAAAAACACAGCACUGUGCAAACACGAAAGUGGACGUAUACGGUGUGACGCCUGCCCGGUGCCGGAAGGUUAAUUGAUGGGGUCAGCGCAAGCGAAGCUCCUGAUCGAAGCCCCGGUAAACGGCGGCCGUAACUAUAACGGUCCUAAGGUAGCGAAAUUCCUUGUCGGGUAAGUUCCGACCUGCACGAAUGGCGUAAUGAUGGCCAGGCUGUCUCCACCCGAGACUCAGUGAAAUUGAACUCGCUGUGAAGAUGCAGUGUACCCGCGGCAAGACGGAAAGACCCCGUGAACCUUUACUAUAGCUUGACACUGAACAUUGAGCCUUGAUGUGUAGGAUAGGUGGGAGGCUUUGAAGUGUGGACGCCAGUCUGCAUGGAGCCGGCCUUGAAAUACCACCCUUUAAUGUUUGAUGUUCUAACGUGGACCCGUGAUCCGGGUUGCGGACAGUGUCUGGUGGGUAGUUUGACUGGGGCGGUCUCCUCCUAAAGAGUAACGGAGGAGCACGAAGGUUGGCUAAUCCUGGUCGGACAUCAGGAGGUUAGUGCAAUGGCAUAAGCCAGCUUGACUGCGAGCGUGACGGCGCGAGCAGGUGCGAAAGCAGGUCAUAGUGAUCCGGUGGUUCUGAAUGGAAGGGCCAUCGCUCAACGGAUAAAAGGUACUCCGGGGAUAACAGGCUGAUACCGCCCAAGAGUUCAUAUCGACGGCGGUGUUUGGCACCUCGAUGUCGGCUCAUCACAUCCUGGGGCUGAAGUAGGUCCCAAGGGUAUGGCUGUUCGCCAUUUAAAGUGGUACGCGAGCUGGGUUUAGAACGUCGUGAGACAGUUCGGUCCCUAUCUGCCGUGGGCGCUGGAGAACUGAGGGGGGCUGCUCCUAGUACGAGAGGACCGGAGUGGACGCAUCACUGGUGUUCGGGUUGUCAUGCCAAUGGCACUGCCCGGUAGCUAAAUGCGGAAGAGAUAAGUGCUGAAAGCAUCUAAGCACGAAACUUGCCCCGAGAUGAGUUCUCCCUGAGACUUAGAGUCUCCUGAAGGAACGUUGAAGACGACGACGUUGAUAGGCCGGGUGUGUAAGCGCAGCGAUGCGUUGAGCUAACCGGUACUAAUGAACCGUGAGGCUUAACCUUACAACGCCGAA